rnacentral:lncRNA from 1 species
AUUUCAGCAUUUUUAAAAGUCAAAAACUAUUUUUAAUCAAUUAAAAAUGAAUAAAAAUAACCUAAUUGAACUAAAAUCUCAAAUAAAUCUCAAAUCAAUAAAAAAAUUGAUGAGAGUAUUUUUCAUAGAUCCAUCAUCAUUCAAAUAGGUUAGGAAAAUAUUUUUGUAUUUUUUGAAUAUCAAAAACUAUUUAAGAUGAAUUAAAAAUAACCAAAAAUGAGAAAAUUCACAAAAAAUAGCAA